UACAUGUGGGGCAAGCGUUGUUCGGAAUUACUGGGCAUAAAGCGCGCGUAGGCGGACCUGCAAGUCGGGGGUGAAAGCCCGAGGCUCAACCUCGGAACUGCCUUCGAUACUGCGGGUCUCGAGUCCGGGAGAGGUGAGUGGAAUUCCUAGUGUAGAGGUGAAAUUCGUAGAUAUUAGGAAGAACACCAGUGGCGAAGGCGGCUCACUGGCCCGGUACUGACGCUGAGGCGCGAAAGCGUGGGGAGCAAACAGG
rnacentral:rRNA from 1 species